rnacentral:tRNA from 1 species
GGGGGGAUCGUUCAACGGUAGGACCGCAGCCUUUGGAGCUGCUAAUGACGGUUCGAGCCCGUCUCCCCCUGCCA